rnacentral:lncRNA from 1 species
CUUGUUUUAGAAUUUUGCUAAGCUAUUAUGAUCUGCACAAAAAUUUAGUUUAGUGGUUUCCAUGACUUGAUCCUGCAUAUGAAUUUAAAUUUCGUUAGUUUCUCCAGCUUAUUGGAAAUUACUAUUACUAGUGUGCUAGUAUAAAGGUUAAGUGACCGGGCUUUCUUUCAAUCAAAAUUGUUACAUAAUGCAAUUGUGCGUUUGGUCCAAAAUUUUGCUUAUUCAACUGUUGUGAUCAUUGUUGGAUAUCAUAUAUUAUUCAUUACAAUGUCCAAGGUUUGGAAUUAUUAUAAUUUUAGGGGAGGUUCUGCAGGAAUUUCGGUUUUAUUUGUUGUGU